rnacentral:rRNA from 1 species
GAGUUUGAUCUUGGCUCAGGAUGAACGCUGGCGGCGUGCCUAAUACAUGCAAGUCGAGCGAACGGACGAGAAGCUUGCUUCUCUGAUGUUAGCGGCGGACGGGUGAGUAACACGUGGAUAACCUACCUAUAAGACUGGGAUAACUUCGGGGAAACCGGAGCUAAUACCGGAUAAUAUUUUGAACCGCAUGGUUCAAAAGUAAAAGACGGUCUUGCUGUCACUUAUAGAUGGAUCCGCGCUGCAUUAGCUAGUUGGUAAGGUAACGGCUUACCAAGGCAACGAUGCAUAGCCGACCUGAGAGGGUGAUCGGCCACACUGGAACUGAGACACGGUCCAGACUCCUACGGGAGGCAGCAGUAGGGAAUCUUCCGCAAUGGGCGAAAGCCUGACGGAGCAACGCCGCGUGAGUGAUGAAGGUCUUCGGAUCGUAAAACUCUGUUAUUAGGGAAGAACAUAUGUGUAAGUAACUGUGCACAUCUUGACGGUACCUAAUCAGAAAGCCACGGCUAACUACGUG